CGUCAAAUCAUCACGGCCCUUACGCCCUGGGCUACACACGUGCUACAAUGGUAGGUACAAAGAGCAGCCACUUGGUGACAAGGAGCUAAUCUCUAAAACCUAUCUCAGUUCGGAUUGGAGUCUGAAACUCGACUCUAUGAAGCUGGAAUCGCUAGUAAUCGCGCAUCAGCCAUGGCGCGGUGAAUACGUUCCCGGGCCUU
rnacentral:rRNA from 1 species